AUUGACCGCUGGCGGCAGGCCUAACACAUGCAAGUCGAACGCGUGGCGGACGGGUGAGUAAUGUCUGGGAAACUGCCCGAUUGAGGGGGAUCACUCCUGGAAACGGUAGCUCAUACCGCAUCCCAUCGGAUGUGCCCAUAUGGGAUUAGCUCGUAGGUGGGGUAACGGCUCACCUAGGCGACGAUCCCUAGCUGGUCUGAGAGGAUGACCAGCCACACUGGAACUGAGACACGGUCCAGACGCCUACGGGAGGCAGCAGGGGGGAAUAUUGCACAAUGGGCGCAAGCCUGAUGCAGCCAUGCCGCGUGUAUGAAGAAGGCCUUCGGGUUGUAAAGUACUUUCAGCGGGGAGGCGUUACCCGCAGAAGAAGCACCGGCUAACUCCGUGCCAGCAGCCGCGGUAAUAC
rnacentral:rRNA from 1 species